AACAAUUUUAUGAGUUCCUCGCAAAACCUUAAAAUCAGACCUCACAGAGACAGGAAGCCAAUGAAGAGAUGCCGAAAUCGAUGUAAUGUGGUCAAACUUUCUGCUUUAUGUCAAAAUUCUGGCAACACCAUUCUAAACCAAUUGGAGACCCAUAAUCCUGGACUGAGGUAAACCAGGGAAUAUAACAUUGCAGCAGUCCAGUCUGGAAGAGACAAAUGCAUGAAUCAGGGUCUCAGCAUCAGCCAUAGACAGGAUGGGAGGAAUUUUCACUAAGUUUAUCAUCCAAAGUC